UACCUGCAGCUCUAGUGGUGUCCGCUAUUAUUGGGCCUAAAACGUCCGUAGCCGGCUUAUUAAAUGCCUGGGUAAAUCGUACGGCUUAACCGUACGAAUUCCGGGUAGACUGAUAAGCUUGGGACCGGGAGAAGCUAGAGGUACUCCUGGGGUAGAGGUGUAAUUUUGUAAUCCUAGGGGGACCACCAGUGGCGAAGGCGUCUAGCUAGAACGGGUUUGACGGUGAGGGACGAAGCCCUGGGGAGCAAACGGGAUUAGAUACCCCGGUAGUCCAGGGUGUAAACGCUGCUUGCUUGAUGUUAGUCGAGCUCCGAGCCCGAUUAGUGUCGGAGAGAAGUUGUUAAGCAAGCUGCCUGGGAAGUACGGCCGCAAGACUGAAACUUAAAGGAAUUGGCGGGGAGCACUGCAACGGGUGGAGCGUGCGGUUU
rnacentral:rRNA from 1 species